AUCUGCUGAUUCCCAUAAAAGGGCAUGGAUCUUCAGGACCAUGUGCACACAGGGAAAGCACAGACAACCUGCAUCUACAAACAAAAAGGUUAUGCCAAAAAAUUAACAAACACAGUGAGACACUGGCCACGGGAGGGGGAAAGAAGGCUUCCCCAGGGUUAUCCAACCUGGACUAGUGCAUCUGAGCCAUUAUUGUUGGGUGUACCAUCAGCUAAGUAUUUGGACACAGAACUUCAGUCCCAGAGUGUCAGUGGUUUUAUGCCCCAGUGCAUUCUCAGAGUCAAAAGGAACCAUCUCUGCUCUUCAGGACUGUUUGAGACACAUAGAUGACUGCAGGAGGUACGUCCACUGCUGAGGGCCUAAGACUCCACCUAUAAAGCAGGUGACAAGACAGCCCUGAGAACGAUGAGGACCAAACUGUCCCGGGAAAUCAGAGAAGCAAAGCACACACAUAGCCAGAGCAUCCACAGCCACUUCCAAAACAGGCAGGGCAUCCAGGCUAUCACCAGUUACAGGACUACAGCACCUGACUGGGACAGUAAUGCCUUCCUUCCAGACAUGCUGAACAACUUCUGCACUCGAUUUGAGGCACAGAAUAAUGUGGGGGCGAGGAAGACCAUCCCCCUUUCAACGACCAGGUGCGUCAUCUCACCACAGCUGAUGUGAGGAAACCUCUACGCAGUCAACCAGUGGAAAGCUGCUGAAUCAGACAAUAUUCCUGGCAGAGUGCCCAAAGGAUGUGCAGACCAGCUGUCUGAAUAUGGACAAAUUUAAAGAGAUAGUUGUUGACUUUAGAAGGUUUACUCUGCGUAGAGGUUUAGAAGGUUGACUCUGCGUAGACCACUCUCCGCUUAACAUUGACGGCUUCUCUGUGGAGAUCAUCCAGGGCACUAAAUUCCUUGAUGAUCUCCUGGCAGAGAACCUCACCAGCUCCCUUAAAACCAGCUCUAUUACCAUAAAGCCUAACAGUGUCUCUAUUUUCUGAGAAGGCUCAGGAAAGCUCAUUUGCCACCUCCCAUCCUUACCACAUUCUACAGAGGAACCAGUAAGAGCAUCCUGAGCAGCUGCAUCACUGUCUGGUUUGGGAAUUGGACUGUAUCUGACCGCAAGACUCUCCAGCAAAUAAUGAGAACACACACACACAACCAACACAGUCUUGCUCCCUGGACUUAUUUAUGCACAAUAUUCUUCAAUGAAUAUUCUUUGAAUGUUUCUCCUUUUAUACAAUUACUGACACUUUUAGCAAAAUUUAUUUAUUUCAACAAUUAACUGUCCAGCACAAAAUAACAUAAGUUCUACACAAGUUCCACUUUCAAACUUCAUAUAAAAAGAUUUGUUUUUCA